UGCAGUCGAGGGGCAGCGGGGGAGUAGCAAUACUCCCGCCGGCGACCGGCGCACGGGUGAGUAACACGUAUGAAACCUGCCCGUAGCAGGGGGGGAUAAGCGGAAGAAAUUCCGUCUAAUACCGCGUAACAACCCUUGGAGGCAUCUCCUCGGGUUUAAAGGAAGCGAUUCCGGCUACGGAUGGUCAUGCGUCGCAUUAGCUGGUUGGCGGGGUAACGGCCCACCAAGGCGACGAUGCGUAGGGGUUCUGAGAGGAAGGUCCCCCACACUGGUACUGAGACACGGACCAGACUCCUACGGGAGGCAGCAGUGAGGAAUAUUGGUCAAUGGCCGCAGGGCUGAACCAGCCAAGUCGCGUGAGGGAUGACGGUCCUAUGGAUUGUAAACCUCUUUUGUCAGGGAGCAAAGGGCGCCACGUGUGGCGCUUUGCGAGUACCUGAAGAAAAAGCAUCGGCUAACUCCGUGCCAGCAGCCGCGGUAAUACGGAGGAUGCGAGCGUUAUCCGGAUUUAUUGGGUUUAAAGGGUGCGCAGGCGGAAUGUCAAGUCAGCGGUAAAAUUUCGGGGCUCAACCCCGUCGUGCCGUUGAAACUGGCGUUCUUGAGUGAGCGAGAAGUAUGCGGAAUGCGUGGUGUAGCGGUGAAAUGCAUAGAUAUCACGCAGAACUCCGAUUGCGAAGGCAGCAUACCGGCGCUCAACUGACGCUCAUGCACGAAAGCGUGGGUAUCGAACAGGAUUAGAUACCCUGGUAGUCCACGCAGUAAACGAUGAAUACUAACUGUCCGG
rnacentral:rRNA from 1 species